AGAGUUUGGCUUUCCUUUCACUUCAUUUCCUUUACUUAAACCUUUUUCCUUUUCCCUUGGUGAACCAAACACCCCCUUAUUAUCUGACACUAACAUGAAUAUGACACAACACAACUUAUUUGCCAAUACUUAAAGAAAACCCAAUAAGAAUAAUUCGCCAGCUCUUAAAAGAAACUCAGCGCAAUUUUUUUGAUAUACUUAUCAGAAAAGUAUGUCAUCCCUUUAAACCUAUAACUAUUGGAUCGCAUCGGUCGAAUCAAAUUAACUAGGGAAAGUCAUGAGCGGGAUAAGCAAUGGUGUUGACAAAGCCAAAUCGAUCCUUAUUUGGUCUUGCCCAAUAUCUUCUAAUGACUAUAGUAAAUCACGCUAACUUGUUGCAAAGAGAUGAAACCCCCCCCAAAAAAAAAAAAAAAAUGACAGCUGUGGGAUUUGAACCCACGCCCUUUCGGACCAGAGCCUAAAUCUGGCGCCUUAGACCACUCGGCCAAACUGUCAGAUAGUUAAUUAAAAUCAUAAAAAUCUGAAUAUAACUAUUUGCACUGAUAUACCACCGACAGUGCAAGUGAAGUGAAGAAUUGCCUCACUUUGUCGUGCAAAUUAUUAUCUCAAGUACAGUAAACAUCAAUCACUGUCAUUUGCCAAACAACAAUAUAUCAAAUUCAAAGGGCAGAGUAGACUUUUUUGGGAGAUAAAAUUUUGAAAAGCUAGCAAAAAGGCUGGGUGGUCCUGCGUACCGAAUUCAUUGCAAAAGAGAAUUGGCCAUAAAGACAAGGUGGGAAGAGAUAGAAAAACAAGGAGCAAGGAUGAGCAAAGAUAAGCUCAACUGAGCUUGGUUUGGAGGCUUGGAGCUUUCCGAGCCUUGAGAGUUCAAGGUCGAGCUUAGUAUGCAUCUUUGCUUGAUACUUUUCAACUUUUUUGUAAUGUUCGAAACCCAAAUCCAAAUCGAGCUCAUCACUAGAAUGUGAUCCAAAUUAACUCAAUUAACUUGAUCAAAGUUCGAUUUGAAUGACCUGUUUGCCACAUUUCUAUGUUGGCUUUGGUUUAGCGUAGGUCAAUAUGAGCAUACAUAUGCCCUCUCCUUUUAUUACUAUAUACUCCUUCCGCCUCUUAAAGACGUCCGUUUCCAUUUUAGUAUAUCCAUAUCACAUUUCUCAUAUCCUUUUUUUUGGAUCGAGUAAUUGAGUUCACUAUCUCUACUUACUCUAUCCUAAAUAUAAAUUAUCACUAACUAUUUUUUAUCACAUCUAACUUUCCCUCUCUUGUCAAUAAGAUCUACUCUUUUUUCAUUUUUCUCUCUUCCCAACAUAAAUUUGCUCUUUCUAAAACCAACGGUUCAACAGAAAUGAGCAAUGUUUUUAGAACGGAGGGAGUACUUAAACAGAAAUCCACUAAUACAAAAAUUUUGGAUCCGGAUCUUAUAAUACCUCUCUUUGGAGAAUUUUAUAAGUUGAGCUCGCAAACGCUAAAUUUGCGAGCUCAACUGUUUACAUUCUUAAUUCUAUCCUCCACAUUGCUGGCAAAUUUUGUCCAAGAUUCUUUAUUUUGUUUGUAUUGAAGUUUUUGUGGGUAGAGUUAGGAUCAAAUUUGGUCCACUAGCUUGCUAUCCAAAAGAUCUCUUCAAUAAUAUGAAUUGGUUCAUUGAUUUCAGAUUACGAGAAUGACGUGGUUUUAUUAGGAAUCAUUAGUUUGUUUGUUCAAGCCAAUGUCACUUCUUGGUGGGAUGAUCCGUCCUUACUACCAGAUUAUAACUCGAAGUUUGGUUGAAAGUAAUCUACUGUUGAAGCUACAUGACAAAUUUUGUGAUGAGUUGGUGAUUUUAAUUAGUUUACGAGUGGUAACAUAAGUACAAUUUGGAUGAGAAAGGUUACAUGAUUUGGGCCCAUUUGGAACAUUUUUGCUUUUAAAUCUAUGGUAUACAAAUUCAAUGCAUGUUGAUGUUGGUCAUGUUGCCCUACUUGACAAGAGAUUAAUGUGGUAACGUUAGGUUGUUCAUACAAGUAUUUGUUAUGAUCACAAUUCACAUCUUUUGUCUAAA